GCCCCGCCGCUAACCGCAAGCCUCGAUCCAUACGCCGCGAACCCCGCCUGCCAUCCCGCCGCCGCCAACCGCAAGCCUCGAUCCGUACGCCGCGAACCCCGCCCGCCAUCCCGCCGCCAACCGCAAGGCGUGACCCCGUUAGCCAGCCCGCACUCGUGUCGCGAACCCCGGCCGCCGCCGUGAACCCCGCCCGGCGCUAUCCACCCGACCCGUACGCCGCCAACCCCGCCAUCCGUCGUGAACCGCCGCGAUAUGCCAGCCGCGAAGCGCCAAGUGGAUGAGGCCCCGAAGCUUCCAAAACCCUAGCCGCCCGAAGCCUUUGGGUCACAGUUAACGGCACCAGUGGAGAGAACGCGGAGAGAGAGAGAGAGAGAGGGGUUGCCGCCGCGACGAUUCCUCGGAACGUUGCCGUUCUUGCUUCGGGGAAGGCGAGAUUGGAGUUCACUGGCGCGUGCGGAUCGUGUGGGUGUGCGCAAUUUGGUGUGUGCACCACCGGCGUCAACCGGAUUUCUCGCCGGUGUUGGGUGGCGCCGCGGAUUCGUCGCCGCCGUGGCCUGAGCUCUACACUGCGAACGCGCCGGUAAGAAUCCCCUCCUUGUGCUCGCUUGGUUCUCCUACUUGUGUAUGCGUCUCGGAUUGGGUUAUGGGGCAACCCCGCCAUCCGCCGUGAACCGCCGCGAUAUGUCAGCCGCGAAGCGCCAAGUAGAUGAGGCCCCGAAGCUUCCAAAACCCUAGCCGCCCGAAGCCUUUGGGUCACAGUUAACGGCACCAGUGGAGAGAACGCGGAGAGAGAGAGAGAGAGGGGUUGCCGCCGCGACGAUUCCUCGGAAUGUUGACGUUCUUGCUUCGGGGAAGGCGAGAUUGGAGUUCACUGGCGCGUGCGGAUCGUGUGGGUGUGCGCAAUUUGGUGUGUGCACCACCGGCGUCAACCGGAUUUCUCGCCGGUGUUGGGUGGCGCCGCGGAUUCGUCUGCCGCCGUGGCCUGAGCUCUACACUGCGAACGCGCCGGUAAGAAUCCCCUCCUUGUGCUCACUUGGUUCUCCUACUUGUGUAUGCGUCUCGGAUUGGGUUAUGGGGCACCGGAGGUCGAGCUGUGGGUGCUCCGGCGGGCGCUCCGCCGUGGUGUUUGGUCGCCGCCGCGGUGCCUUCUACUUGGGCUAGGAGGACGGUUCGUCUGAGUUAGAGACUGGUCUUCGGUAAGGUUCUAAAUCUUUUGAUGAAGCCCAAGCAGCAGGAUUCACCAAAGAGAGUUGAACUUUGGGUGAUAUAUGGGAGACUGUACCAAGCAGUGAUCAUGUUUUGCUACUAAUAUCUGAUUCUGCUCAGGUUUGCUUUUUCAUUGAUCUAUAUAUGUGUUCAUAAGCUUUGCACUUUGUAUUGAUCAUUCCUGUCAAUGAGACAAUUGCAUUUUUGGGACUUCAAAUAUGACGUUUCGCAAUAAUACCAUCCAAAACAUUUAUUUCUUUCCUGUCAAUGACAAUUUGAUAUUUUUAAUCCUCUUUUCUUUCUUUGUUUAUUACUUAUAUAAAUGGUGGCUAUGUUACCCCUGGCAUUAUCAGAAUUCUCAUGGUGUUUUGACAAUAUAUAAGAGACAACAUAUACAUGCGAGGAGAUAUAUAGGAGAUAUAAGAGACAAUUGCAUUUUUGUGACUUCAAAUAUGACGUUUCGCAAUAAUACCAUCCAAAACAUUUAUUUUGUAAAAACGGGACAAUAAACAUCUUCCAAUUGAUUAUACUACUAUUUAUCGUAUUUUUUCACUUUUCUAAUUUCUUUCCACGUAUUUUAUACUCACAUUUACCCUUACAUCUCUUCGUCACCUGCUAAUCUGCUAUGCGCUGCCAUGGACGAGGAGAGAAAAGGAUCACUCGAUCUCUCAAGAACUGCCCGUCGCCAGACGGUCGCCCCUACGCCCCAUGCUGGCCAGAGACGUGCAGGCCGUCGGGCUAGCCCUCGCCGUGGUGAUUGGGUUAUGGGGCACCGGAGGGCGAGCUGUGGGUGCUCCGGCGGGCGCUCCGCCGUGGUGUUUGGUCGCCGCCGUGAUGCCUUCUACUUGGGCUAGGAGGACGUUUCGUCUGAGUUAGAGGCAGGAGGACAGUUCUAAAUCAUGACUUCAAAGGGCCAUCAUAUUUUCCUUCAUUUCUUGUUCACUCGAUGUUACUAAAGCAAUAAGCAGCCUUUGCAUCUCUAAUUCUGUUGUUUUUAUUUCAGACUGGUCUUCGGUAAGGUUCUAAAUCUUUUGAUGAAGCCCAAGCAGCAGGAUUCACCAAAGAGAGUUGAACUUUGGGUGAUAUAUGGGAGACUGUACCAAGCAGUGAUCCUGUUUUGCUACUAAUAUCUGAUUCUGCUCAGCCAUGGACGAGGAGAGAAAGGAUCACUCGAUCUGUCAAGAACUGCCCGUCGCCAGACGGUCGCCCCUACGCCCCAUGCUGGCCAGAGACGUGCAGGCCGUCGGGCUAGCCCUCGCCGUGCUGGGCACGGGCACACGGCCGCACCCUCCGCCUUACUGCUGAAGUUCUUAACAAUGAUGCCCUACAAGGAUUAGAAAGGAAACACAUAUCUGGAAGAAAAAAUUCACACAGCCAAUUCGAAAGAAAUAUGCGGCCAAGGCAUGGGAUGCGGCGGCGUCUGCUCGUGGCCGUAGAACGGGCGGACGCGCUGACCUCGUCGGGCGUGACCUUGGCAGGGAGGAUAGGCCUGCUGGUGGACAAGGAGGCCUCCGCCCUGGUCCUGGUGCUGCUGCUACAGCUCCAGCUCCAGCACCAGCACCGGUUGCUGCUCGCCCAUAGGCUUUAGCUUUUCGACCGUGUUGAAAGUCUUCUGCCCACGCAGUUUCGGAGUUGUCGCCUAUGGGUG